CGGAUCGCUAAACAUCAGAGAAAAUCGGCUAUUAGUUUCUGGUUAGUCACAACGGAGCAUAGAUGUUUAUAUUAUAGCAUUUAGUCAUUCCUUUGUACACUUAGUAUUUAGACGCGGUAUAUACACAUCGAGACAUUGCUGUGGUUGUUAAUAAAUAAUCUUAAGGUAUAAAUCGAAUAUAAUUAGUUAGAUCGUUAUUCGGUAUUGUGAUUUGUAGAUUAUAUAUUAUGUGAUAGCAUCGUCGUGUCGUCCUAUGUGGGGUUUACCUCUUCACCUUUGGAGUGUCGGCACUAUGAUUAAUGCGCAAUUCCAGCACUGCCUAUUUUAAAAUCUACGUUAUAUACUAAUAAGCUUAGCACUAAGAAGAUGCAUCGGAGAGUGUCCACAGGGUAAUACUGUAAUUGUCGUAUACGUAUAAAUGUGUUGUUAAGCUCAUGCACCAUGCCAACGCUAUUGCAGUGAUUAAUAAAUUGUAUGAAAUUUCGUUAUAUUAUACUGUUGAGUAUAAAUUAUUGAUUAUUCUGUAUGUUUGUCCGCUGCCCGAUUACGGGAAGCAACGCCGCUAUCCCUCUAUUAGUGACAGUUAGGUAAUCUGCAAAUUACGAAAAGACUAUGGUUUUUUGCGCCCAAACUAUGUCUUACUUUAUUGCUGGGAAGGAAAUUUCCACUUCGUACGUAUCACUGCCUUGGCGAGCUUGUCUCGUUCUAUGGUGCAAGAAAUUUCUCAGUUUUAUGAAACUGUGUUUGUACAUUUUUUUUUGCUUUUGCAAAGAUAAUAUGCAUAUUUAUAUUUUGCAAAAUGAUAACAAGUGUAACUGCUGUUUCGAGCAGUAAUUUACAAUUUACAUGUAACGAUUGAGAACGUGAAUAUAGACAAAAACACUUACGGCUCGGCAAGUACGUCAACAGAGAUCGUGUAAGUUCCGGCAUCGUCUUCAGUCGACGCCUGUCUGGCGGUUCGUGCACGAUGGUCACACUGAACGUUGAUGUUCAAGUCUCUGCACUCCCGGGUUCCUACGAUACGUACCGUUAGUAAUAAUACAAACAAAGCGAAUAGAUAACACUUUUACCUUCGAAUAAAAACUUACCUUCGAAUGAGUUAGAACAGAAGUUCCAGUCCCUGUUUAACGAGUUGACAGCGUGUCUGACCUUCUGUUUCAGCACCUCUUGUCCAGCCUCAUUACAGAGUACAGACGUAGGAAAGUUCAUUCUGAUUUUAAAUACACGUUGAGCGGGAGAAGCGCCUAAAGUUAAAUUUAGUUGAUUAAAAUAAUCCUGAAUUAGAUGAUCACGCAAAUAUUUAAAGAUAAAACUUAUUCUUACUUGUACAAGCAGGGUAGACAAGUGGCAGGCCGGGGUUGUUGGUUGGCCGCCAGAAACCUUCAGCUCCGCAAGUGUAGAACUUGGGCACCUCUUGCGCAAACCUAAGUCCAGCAUUGCAAGAAAUCUCGCAAACCUUGAACUGACCGCCCGCGCCCCAGUCCUUGCAUUGCUGCAUUCCACCAAUAGGAUCAGUUACAGCUGGCAGAGUUUCCAGCCUGAUCGUAAGCCACAUAGCUGAUGUCGUAUGAUCCCCACAGAAGCGUCUGUCCAGAUCUGUGUCCACUCUUCUCCUGAACCCUGACAACGCCAACGUUGUCACUGAACUUCGGCUCGUCCCACGUAACGAUUGACGAUCCAUUCUUGGCAAUGACCCACAGGUCACCAGGGCAGUGUUCGAUCUUAGGUGGUAUCUUGUCGGACUCCAACUGUUGGCACUUGCUGCCACCAUAACCUGGUGGGCAGACUCGCUGACCACAGUGCGAUGGUGCGAUUCGCUCGACUCCACCAACGGUUUCGUCGUAGCCGGCCCAGGUGAGCACGAGACCUUGGUAGAGGACUGGCUCGGUACGGCAGUCGCGGACUUGUUUCUGGAUUUCGUUGGUCACGUGAAGAGCUCGCUCCCAGAUUUGAACCUUGGUAAGGUGACCUUGAAAGCCAGACUCCGUAUAGCCUUUGCCAACUUCGCUGCGUGGCUUACCCAGGACAGCCCAGGCGCUAAAAAUUUGAAGAAUUGAUUGUUUUAAUUUUAUUCGAUACUCUCGUUGAAUUUUUAUUAUCAUUUAUUAACUUCAAUCACUUACUAUGAGGGUAGAGUUCUUCCGCUACCGUAGCCUUCGGUCUUGCUGGCAAUCAGACCUUCCGUGAUGAGAGUCAAUUCACCGCCGUUUUCACCGUUCCAAAUAACGGCGAUGUGAUGCCAUUGUCCGUCGUUUAUAGUGGCGUAUUCCCUGAAUGGUAAGUACACGUCUUGCAGAUCGUGGAAGAUCGAAACUUGAACACCGUUGCUAUGAGCUUGCAUCAUUGGUCUACGGUUGGUAGGAACGUGAGGAGAGCUGACGGCAUACAGGGUGAAGAAGAUGCCAGCCUCGUCGCGCUGAGUGAAUUGCACCCACAUAGCGAUGGUCAAACUCUUCUUGGCUCCAGUGAAGAAUGGAAUCACUUGCAUCGCACUGCUGCGAGUUGGGUCGCUGAAGUAGAGGUCGUAGUCGACUUGGAUGGCUGUGGAAUCACGAAAUAACGAUUUAUUUGUGAAAAUUAAAACAGAGUAAUAAAGCUUAACAACAACUGUGUUA